AUGCAGACAUGGAAUGGGCAAAGCAUUUACGCCGCGGGCUUCAGAAUCAGGGCUAGUUUGAUCAACUUGGAAACUACAAAAAAAAAAAAACUAAAUUGCAACAAAAAGCACUACCAAAAUUCGCGGCCGGUGGCGAGACCCUUGAUUCUGCUCAAGCAGACCGCCAAUCGCUCGUGGCGCGACAGAUGGGACAGCCCCGAUGGCCUCCUCUCCAGCCCCUCCAUCUCCUCCCUCCUGCUCGAAGACAGCUCGCCUCGCUCCACAGAUUCCCCCCUGCUCCGCGCAGCAGCUCGUCGGCAGCUCGCCUCCCCCACACAGCCUAACCCCACCUAA
rnacentral:rRNA from 1 species